GUUUAUAUAGCUUAAGCAAAGCGUAGCACUGAAAAUGCUAAGAUGGGCCCUAAAAAUCCCUCUAAACA
rnacentral:tRNA from 1 species